AGUAAUACUUGGGUAAUCUACCCUUGAGUGGGAAACAACCGGCCGAAAGGCUGGCUAAUGUCCCAUAAGACCACAGGAGCGCAUGCUCCAGAGGUCAAAGGUCCGCAAGGGCCGCUUGAGGAGGAACCCGAGUCCUAUCAGCUAGUUGGUGAGGUAACGGCUCACCAAGGCUUUGACGGGUAGCCGGCCUGAAAGGGUGAUCGGCCACACUGGCACUGAGACACGGGCCAG
rnacentral:rRNA from 1 species